GACGAACGCUGGCGGCGUGCCUAAUACAUGCAAGUUGAGCGCUGAAGGUGGUUACUUGUACCAACUGGAUGAGCAGCGAACGGGUGAGUAACGCGUGGGGAAUCUGCCUUUGAGCGGGGGACCACAUUUGGAAACGAAUGCUAAUACCGCAUAAAAACUUUAAACACAAGUUUUAAGUUUGAAAGAUGCAAUUGCAUCACUCAAAGAUGAUCCCGCGUUGUAUUAGCUAGUUGGUGAGGUAAAGGCUCACCCAGGCGAUGAUACAUAGCCGACCUGAGAGGGUGAUCGGCCACAUUGGGACUGAGAAACGGCCCAAAAUCCUACGGGGGGCAGCAGUAGGGAAUCUUAGGCAAUGGACGAAAGUCUGACCGAGCAAAGCCGCGUGAGUGAAGAAGGUUUUCGGAUCGUAAAACUCUGUUGGUAGAGAAGAAAGUUGGUGAGAGUGGAAAGCUCAUCAAGUGACGGUAACUACCCAGAAAGGGACGGCUAACUACGUG
rnacentral:rRNA from 1 species